GUGAAGAACGCAGCGAAAUGCGAUACGUAAUGUGAAUUGCAGAAUUCAGUGAAUCAUCGAAUCUUUGAACGCAUAUUGCGCUCUCUGGUAUUCCGGAGAGCAUGCUUGUUUGAGUAUCAGUAAACACCUCAACUCCCUUUUCUUUUUUGAAAUUGGAGCUGGACUUGAGUGAUCCCAACGCUUUCUUCCAAGAAAGUGGCGGGUUGCUUGAAAUGCAGGUGCAGCUGAACUUUUCUCUGAGCUAUAAGCAUAUCUAUUUAGUCUGCCUAAAAAACAGAUUAUUACCUUUGCUGCAGCUAACAUAAAGGAGACUAGUUCUUGUGCUGACUGAUGCAGGAUUCACAGAGACAGCUUCGGCUGACUUUGUAAACUCGAUCUCAAAUCAAGUAAGACUACCCGCUGAACUUAAGCAUAUCAAUAAGCGGAGGA
rnacentral:misc_RNA from 1 species